CGCGGCCUAUCAGCUUGUUGGUGGGGUAACGGCCUACCAAGGCUAUGACGGGUAGCUGACGUGAGAGCGUGAGCAGCCACACUGGGACUGAGACACGGCCCAGACUCCUACGGGAGGCAGCAGUGGGGAAUAUUGCGCAAUGGGCGAAAGCCUGACGCAGCGACGCCGCGUGGGGGAGGAAGGCCUUAGGGUUGUAAACCCCUGUCAGGUGGGACGAACCCCGGGUCGGUUAAUAAUCGGCUCGACUGACGGUACCACCAGAGGAAGCUCCGGCUAACUCCGUGCCAGCAGCCGCGGUAAUACGGAGGGAGCGAGCGUUGUUCGGAAUCACUGGGCGUAAAGGGCGCGUAGGCGGCCGAGUAAGUCGUGUGUGAAAGACCGGGGCUCAACUCCGUGUACUGCAUGCGAUACUGCCCGGCUAGAGUAAGGUAGAGGCGAGUGGAAUUCCCGGUGUAGCGGUGGAAUGCGUAGAUAUCGGGAAGAACACCUGUGGCGAAGGCGGCUCGCUGGGCCUUUUCUGACGCUGAAGUGCGAAAGCGUGGGGAGCAAACAGGAUUAGAUACCCCGGUAGUCCACGCCGUAAACGAUGGGCACUAGGCGUUGGGAGGAUUGACCCUCUCAGUGCCGUAGCUAACGCGUUAAGUGCCCCGCCUGGGGAGUACGG
rnacentral:rRNA from 1 species